GCACGACUCUCUGUAAUGUAUUUACUUUAGUAUAUAUAUAUAUACACUAGGGCUGAAACAAUUACUCGACAUUAUCGACAACGUCGACGAUAAAAAUAAAAUUUUCAGCAAAUGUUUUUGAGUAACGUUAGUGGUUUGAUCUCGUAUCUGCCUGAUUUGAAAGCCUGCAUUAAUGCAGUUUGACCAGUGUGGCGCUGUAGCGCAAGAUUGUAAUACACUCUCCUGAUUCAAUUAAAAAGAAGAAGAUAGCACUUCAGUUUGAGGCAAACCGACCCGAUCCGAACCUUGGAUGAAUAUGUUUGUGCAGAAUUUGAGACAUCCAGAAUUACCAUAGGCCCAUUAGAAUCAACAAUCUUUGCCAAACUUGAUUCGGACUGCAAAAUUUACGAAGAUGUUUUCAUACUGAAGAAGAGACCUUGGACAAAUACUGAAACCCUCUUGGUGCCCACUACACAGGCAGGGGUGUCCAGACCUGCUCUAGGAAAGCCAGUGUUCUGUGGGGUUCAGCUCUAACACACCUGCCUGGAACUUCAGACUAAUGAAAUUGAAGUAUCCAAAUGAAGACCCUAGCAGUAUGGAGUAUAUGGAUACAGACGUUGCCAGCAGUCAGGAGGUGAUCCAGAAGACUCAUGGGAAUCUAUUUGAAGCUGCAUCAUUGAAGACAGUCCAGCAGAAGUUGGAGUUUUAAAGGAUAAAGUUCUUCAGGACCUAUAGCAGUUUACAGUCUGUAAAACCAUGUUACUGGGACUGAUUUAUGGACUGAACUUGAGCAACCCUCCUGAACUCAGGUACACAUUUGGAAUACUGAAGAAGUUAUUUCUGGAGCCACUUCCUGUUCCUGGAAUAAGGUUUGAUUGGUUGCCCAUGAAUGCCAAUUAGAAUUGUAUUUGCUAUUUUGUGUAAUUUUGUAAUGUGGUUUAAACUGUAUUUUACUGUGUGUAAUUAUUUAUUGCUUGUUUAACAAAUACACUUUGAUCAUUUGUGA